rnacentral:rRNA from 1 species
GUGGGGAAUCUUCCGCAAUGGACGAAAGUCUGACGGAGCAACGCCGCGUGAGUGAUGAAGGUCUUCGGAUUGUAAAGCUCUGUUAAUCGGGACGAAAGAGCCUAGUGUGAAUAAUGCUAGGAAGUGACGGUACCGGAAUAGAAAGCCACGGCUAACUACGUGCCAGCAGCCGCGGUAAUACGUAGGUGGCAAGCGUUGUCCGGAAUUAUUGGGCGUAAAGCGCGCGCAGGCGGAUCUGCCAGUCUGUCUUAAAAGUUCGGGGCUUAACCCCGUGAUGGGAUGGAAACUACAGAUGUAGAGUAUCGGAGAGGAAAGUGGAAUUCCUAGUGUAGCGGUGAAAUGCGUAGAUAUUAGGAAGAACACCAGUGGCGAAGGCGACUUUCUGGACGAAAACUGACGCUGAGGCGCGAAAGCCAGGGGAGCGAACGGGAUUAGAAACCCCAGUAGUCC